ACCCCUUAUAAAAGUUUACAACAAUGACUCAGACCCUUAUGGACUAAAAGGUCAUUCUAUCUUUAAGUCGGUUCGAUACUUCAUCUUCGGAUAUGUUAUAACGCCGAAGCUUCACGAGUGGUAGCUUCGGUCAUCAUGUAUAAGCAGCUUUAGCCGAAGCUAUUUCCUCCUGCAGGACCUUCGGCGACGAAGCAUGGUCCCAACAACAUCCAAAUUUCC
rnacentral:lncRNA from 1 species